GUGUGUAUAUUGGAUGCAGUGUGAAUGCAUUGAGGGGCAGUGUAUAGGAAUUUGACAGUUUGGAGAGGGCAGUAUGUAGGAAGGUGACAGUGUGUAGGAAGAGGACAUUAUAGGGGGGCAGGGUGUUAGGAUGACAGUGUGGGGAGCAGAAUGACCGUAUGUGCAUUAGUAAGGGCAUGUUGUCUUACAUACACUCAUUGACGGUCAUUGUCUCACACACCGUUUAACCAACACACACGUUCACUGACACGAACACAC